rnacentral:rRNA from 1 species
GAUCAUGGCUCAGAACGAACGCUGGCGGCGCGUCUUAAACAUGCAAGUCGAACGAUCUGUAGCAAUACAGGGAGUGGCGGACGGGUGAGGAACACGUAGGAAUCUACCUAGAAGAGCGGGACAACCUUGGGAAACCGGGGCUAAUACCGCAUAGUACAGUGAUGUUAAAGGGCUAGCAAUAGUCGCUUCUAGAUGAGCCUGCGGUCUAUCAGCUGUUGGCGGGGUAACGGCCCACCAAGGCUACGACGGAUAGCCGGUCUGAGAGGAUGAUCGGCCACACUGGCACUGAGACACGGGCCAGACUCCUACGGGAGGCAGCAGUUAAGAAUCUUGCGCAAUGGACGAAAGUCUGACGCAGCGACGCCGCGUGAAGGAUGAAGGCUUUCGGGUUGUAAACUUCGGUAGACUGGGAAGAAAAAGUAAGUUCGUUGAGGGCUUACAUUGACGGUACCAGUCUGAAGCCCCGGCUAAUUACGUG